rnacentral:tRNA from 1 species
GGUGAAGUAGCUCAGUGGGGAGAGCAUUGGACUGAAGAUUUAAAGGUCCCUAGUUCAAUCCUAGGCUUUGGCA